GGCGAGACCCGGGUUCGAACAUCGAAAAGUGACGUGCUAAAUGAAGGCUGGGAGAACACACGUCCUGCGCUCCGUCCUGAAAUUGGGUUUCAUCCCAUCUGCGCCAGUUGAAAGGAAAUCCGGAGAGACGAUUCACAAGCCGAAGACAAAGAAGAAGACGACGAAGAAAAAGUUUGGAGGAGGAGGCGGAGGAGGAGAUGAAGAAGGAAUGGUGUUGCGUCAGGACAGCCGUUGCUGAGGAUGCGGAAGAGGAGGAGGGAAGGGUGCAUAAUCAAAGGAGGUGGUGGAGAUGGAGCACGGUUAUCUAUGACCGCGUGUGUUUAGGGCUCGUGCCCCUUCGAUCCGACUUGGCAAGCAAGCGCCGAAGUUUGGCUUCGUCCUCGUCCUCCUGCUUGCAUUGCAUUGGGUUGGAUUCACGGGAAAAGGGGGGCUUUGGAUGAGAUUGGAUGGGAUCGGAUUGGCUUAGAUCGGAUUGCUCCUAUGCUUUGGUGGAUGAUCGAUCAGUCCAUUCCUUGCUUACCGCCAUUGGGGCUACAACUGAAACGAACGUUUAUUUAUUUAUUUAGUUUUCGUACAUGUCUAUUGACUACCUAGAAGGUCUUAUAAAAGCUUGUCAAAGACUAAGAGGCUUUUGGCCUAAGUGUUGUGUUGUAGGUUGCUUCCAAUACUUCUUAAAAGUAAGGAACUUUUAGAAUAUUUUUUUAAUUGCUUUGUGACAUAUCUAUAUGCAUCUAAAUAUCCCAUCUAUAUUUAAGAAACUUUGUUAUUUUUUUUUAAAGAAAAUAUUAGUUACUUAGCAGGUUCCUAUUUAUUUCUA